rnacentral:rRNA from 1 species
AUUGAACGCUGGCGGCAGGCCUAACACAUGCAAGUCGAGCGGAUGAAGGGAGCUUGCUCCUGGAUUCAGCGGCGGACGGGUGAGUAAUGCCUAGGAAUCUGCCUGGUAGUGGGGGAUAACGUCCGGAAACGGGCGCUAAUACCGCAUACGUCCUGAGGGAGAAAGUGGGGGAUCUUCGGACCUCACGCUAUCAGAUGAGCCUAGGUCGGAUUAGCUAGUUGGUGGGGUAAAGGCCUACCAAGGCGACGAUCCGUAACUGGUCUGAGAGGAUGAUCAGGCACAACUGAACCUGAAAACGGUUCAGACUCCUACGGGGAGGAACAGGGGGGAAUUUUUGGAAAUGGGGGAAAGCCUUACUCAAGCAAGGCGGGGUGGGUGAAGAAGGCCUCCGGUUGGAAAACCCCUUUAAGUUGGAAGAAAGGGCAGUAAGUUAAGACCUUGCUUUUUGAAGGUUACCAACAGAAUAAGCACCGCCUAAUUUCGU